ACUCCUACGGGAGGCAGCAGUGGGGAAUAUUGCACAAUGGGGGAAACCCUGAUGCAGCCAUGCCGCGUGUGUGAAGAAGGCCUUCGGGUUGUAAAGCACUUCUAGUAGGGAGGAAGGUAGUGUAGUUAACACCUGCAUUAUUUGACGUUACCUACAGAAGAAGCACCGGCUAACUCCGUGCCAGCAGCCGCGGUAAUACGGAGGGUGCGAGCGUUAAUCGGAAUUACUGGGCGUAAAGCGCAUGCAGGCGGCCUGUUAAGUCAGAUGUGAAAGCCCGGGGCUUAACCUCGGAAUUGCAUUUGAAACUGGCAGGCUAGAGUCUUGUAGAGGGGGGUAGAAUUUCAGGUGUAGCGGUGAAAUGCGUAGAGAUCUGAAGGAAUACCAGUGGCGAAGGCGGCCCCCUGGACAAAGACUGACGCUCAGAUGCGAAAGCGUGGGGAGCAAACAGGAUUAGAUACCCUGGUAGGAUAGCG
rnacentral:rRNA from 1 species